UACGGAGGGAGCUAGCGUUGUUCGGAAUUACUGGGCGUAAAGCGCGCGUAGGCGGCUAUUUAAGUCAGAGGUGAAAGCCCGGGGCUCAACCCCGGAAUUGCCUUUGAGACUGGAUAGCUAGAAUCCUGGAGAGGUGAGUGGAAUUCCGAGUGUAGAGGUGAAAUUCGUAGAUAUUCGGAAGAACACCAGUGGCGAAGGCGGCUCACUGGACAGGUAUUGACGCUGAGGUGCGAAAGCGUGGGGAGCAAACAGG
rnacentral:rRNA from 1 species